CUGAAGAAGCAAGUUAAUUCAGAACAAUAAACUUAUGCAAUGUGAUUUAUAAAAUCAUCUCAAAAGUUAUCACCAACAGACUCAAGCCAAUUUUAAAAAGCAUCGUUACCCCCUUCCAGAAUGCUUUUGUCCCGGGGCGGCUCUUGGCUGAUAAUUUCUGUAACAGUCCGUAUUUUAAAGAAGAUUUAUUAAGAGCUAAAUAUUUAACUUAGCUUAAUUUCUGUCACUCUUCCUCGUGUCAACUGUUGUCAACAGACAACACAUUCUAAUCUUCCUUCAUUGUGUCAAAAGGAGAAGAGCUUUCAAAUUGAGUUGUCAAAAUUUCAUGGAAUCUCCACCAUUGAGAUGUAAUCUCCAUAAUUUUGUCUAAUUUUGGGCAAAUCUAAAAACCCCAAUUCUUCAUUCUCGCAUCUUCUCUGUUUUCGUCAGUCUGUUCUGCAAUUUUCUCCAACAUGCAAUCCAAAUUUGCUCCUUCUUUCUUCAUCAAAGUUGUAGAUCUCUUCGAGCUAAUGAAUUUAGGCUCAAAAAUUUCUUCAAUCGGAGUUCGGAGCUAGGAGUUAUGAUCUCUGGAAGUUGUAGUUGUUGCUUCCACUGUUGCAGCGUUUUUCUCUCUCCUCUGUUUCGGUAUGGUGCUGCCGCCACUGUUCCGUGGUCUGUUGCUGUGCUGUAUGGUCUUGUCAAGGGUUGUGCCGCCGUGAUUUAUGGUGGUGCGGUACUGUUUCCGUGAUUGUCACAAACUAAUUGGUUUUUUCUUCUUGAAUCGUUACCUUAGUGUGGUGUAUGUUUGGAUUUCUCGAAGAAUCAAGAGAAAGAGUUUUCAGUUAAGAGAUGGAAAUUAAAUUAGAGAUUUGAAGUUAUAUUUAGAAUAUAAUUGUUGAAUGUUAAGUUCUCAUUUGAUAUUAAGUAUUGUAUUGUUUUGGGAUUUCGAGUAAAGUAAUAUAUAAUCAGGUAUUGGCUUUGAA